rnacentral:rRNA from 1 species
CGAGGGGCUUGGACAUAACGUGCAGUCGAAGAUGAUGCCGAGGCUUGCUGGUGGAUUAGUGGCGAACGGGUGAGUAACACGUGAGUAACCUGCCCUUAACUCUGGGAUAAGCCUGGGAAACUGGGUCUAAUACCGGAUAUGACUCCUCAUCGCAUGGUGGGGGGUGGAAAGCUUUUUGUGGUUUUGGAUGGACUCGCGGCCUAUCAGCUUGUUGGUGAGGUAAUGGCUUACCAAGGCGACGACGGGUAGCCGGCCUGAGAGGGUGACCGGCCACACUGGGACUGAGACACGGCCCAGACUCCUACGGGAGGCAGCAGUGGGGAAUAUUGCACAAUGGGCGCAAGCCUGAUGCAGCGACGCCGCGUGAGGGAUGACGGCCUUCGGGUUGUAAACCUCUUUCAGUAGGGAAGAAGCGUAAGUGACGGUACCUGCAGAAGAAGCGCCGGCUAACUACGUGCCAGCAGCCGCGGUAAUACGUAGGGCGCAAGCGUUAUCCGGAAUUAUUGGGCGUAAAGAGCUCGUAGGCGGUUUGUCGCGUCUGCCGUGAAAGUCCGGGGCUCAACUCCGGAUCUGCGGUGGGUACGGGCAGACUAGAGUGAUGUAGGGGAGACUGGAAUUCCUGGUGUAGCGGUGAAAUGCGCAGAUAUCAGGAGGAACACCGAUGGCGAAGGCAGGUCUCUGGGCAUUAACUGACGCUGAGGAGCGAAAGCAUGGGGAGCGAACAGGAUUAGAUACCCUGGUAGUCCAUGCCGUAAACGUUGGGCACUAGGUGUGGGGGACAUUCCACGUUUUCCGCGCCGUAGCUAACGCAUUAAGUGCCCCGCCUGGGGAGUACGGCCGCAAGGCUAAAACUCAAAGGAAUUGACGGGGGCCCGCACAAGCGGCGGAGCAUGCGGAUUAAUUCGAUGCAACGCGAAGAACCUUACCAAGGCUUGACAUGAACCGGUAAUACCUGGAGACAGGUGCCCCGCUUGCGGCCGGUUUACAGUGGUGCAUGGUUGUCGUCAGCUCGUGUCGUGAGAUGUUGGGUUAAGUCCCGCAACGAGCGCAUCCUCGUUCUAUGUUGCAGCACGUGAUGGUGGGGACUCAUAGGAGACUGCUGGUCACCUCGAAGAAGUGGGGACGACGUCAAUCAUCAUGCCCUUAUCGUCUGGCUCACGCAUGCUACAAUGCUGGUACAAGUUGCGAUACUGUGGAGGUGACUAUCCAAGCGGUUCAGUUCGAAUGGUAGCACUUGAACCCUAUUGA